UUGCAGUCUUUUCAAUUCAUAUAAUCCAAAUUUGUUGAUGUCAACUGCAUAGUAUAGAAUGGACCUCACCAGCGCCAUUUGGAGGAGGUACCCGUAACAAACUUUGGCUCUGUAAUGGAAACCAUACACACUGAUUCAGCCUACAGGUCCCCGUCGAAUAAUUUUUUUUGUUGGAGCUAAAACUAAAUUGUCUUCAGAUCAAACAAUCUCCAAUAAUGACAGAAGAGUUUUGAGAAAUUCUGAUGACAAGGAUCAAUUUGAUAAUUUAAGUGCAGAGGUGAAUUUUAUAUACAUGCCCCCUUAGUAUUUGUUUUGCACUUUCAUGUAAAGCUGUGACUCACAGUGACUGGAUUUAUUGUGCUGGAACAUCUCCAGGAUACUAUUCUCAGCAAUGUGAAUACUUUUGAAAGCGUUGACGCUAGCUUCUGCUUUAAGCAAUGUGGGCGUGACAGUAAAAUAAAGAGAAAAACAAAAAGAAAAAAACGUUUUUUUAGUUCGACUCCGAUCACUACCACAGGUUAAGGCUUCCCUCGGGACCAUGGGUUGCUUACGGGUGUAAUUACAGGCCACUCACCAACGCAAUUUUCAUAUCAGUAGCGGGAAUGGAACACAAUCUUCUCAGGAAAAUGAGUCAUUUUUAUCAACUGAGUCAACAUAUGCCGACACUAGAAAACAUUUUGGAAAUGUCUUGUUAUCUACUCAAAAAUGAAAGGCACACACCACCGGGAGUCUGUCAAAAAUUUUGCUCUGCUAGGGCACAACCCUAAGAGCAGCCGCCACCCCCUUUGGGGGGUCUCCUCCCUCAUGGGGGGAUCCCCUUCUCCUCUAGGGAGACCUUUUCUUCUGCUUGGUUGAUGCCUUCUCCCACAAUAGGUGGGUUUUCCUUCCACUCUAGGUGGAUCUCCUACCCAAAUAAGUGGGUUUUUCUUUUUUCUCUGUGUGUUGUUUGCCCUUUUCUUCGUCCACCAUGCCCCUGCUGCUACCAACACUGACCACCGUGCCACCUGCUGCGGCGUGGCCACCGGCUCCACCCACCACUGCCUUUAUCAUCGCUCGCCCUUUUCACAUGCCUGCCAUCGUGUUUCCUCCUCGCCGGCCCUUGUCACAUGCCUGCCACCACGUCAUCCCCCUCUUGCUUCCAUGACCGUCAAAUCUGCCCUCCUGCAUCCGUCUCGUCCGCUCCGUGAACACCAGAGCCGCCAUUCUGCAACCGUCUAAGCCGAUGAGUCUCGCCGCUGCUGCCGUUCUCACCGCUGCUGCUUCCAAUCUUACCCCUCCAUCUCUCUCUUCGUUCUCAGUAUUGCAGCUUUGCUGCGGGUGUUUUGGAAUCUUCAAAAGUUUCCUGUUUCUCCCCAGAUUCUCAGAUCUACAAGAUUGACCCCAUUUUGUGUUGUUGAAGCCUUGAUUUGAGCUUCACUAAUAGCUGCAUGUUUUGCAACUCCGGCAAAGUCGGUUGUUUUGCUUAUGGAAGCGCCGCGUAAAAAUGAAGAAUAGAUUUUAAUUGUCGCUUAGAAGUCAAUUGAUUAUCUGUUAAUGUUUGGGUUUUAAGGAUCUUUUGUAUGACCUUUAGGGUUUUGCAUCAUGCUUUCGCUGGAUGUUUCAGCUUGUUAAUUUGAGUAGGCAUGCCUGUGCUUUAUUUUCUUAUGUAUGUGCAUUGCAUAAUGCUCCUUGAGAUUUAUUCUCACAUGAUGUAAGUGCCGCUGGGUAACCCUUUGGGUAUUUAUUCCAA